GAUGAACGCUAGCGGCAGGCUUAAUACAUGCAAGUCGAGGGGCAGCAUGAGUGUAGCAAUACAUUUGAUGGCGACCGGCAAACGGGUGCGGAACACGUACUGAACCUUCCUUUAAGUGGGGAAUAGCCCAGGGAAACUUGGAUUAAUACCCCGUAACAUAAUGAAGUGGCAUCACUUUAUUAUUAUAGCUCCGGCGCUUAAAGAUGGCAGUGCGGCUGAUUAGGUAGUUGGCGGGGUAACGGCCCACCAAGCCUGCGAUCAGUAACUGGUGUGAGAGCACGACCAGUCACACGGGCACUGAGACACGGGCCCGACUCCUACGGGAGGCAGCAGUAAGGAAUAUUGGGCAAUGGACGCAAGUCUGACCCAGCCAUGCCGCGUGGAGGAUGAGGGUCCUCUGGAUUGUAAACUUCUUUUAUAUGGGACGAAAAAGGGUCUUUCUAGAUCAACUGACGGUACCAUAUGAAUAAGCACCGGCUAACUCCGUGCCAGCAGCCGCCGUAACAC
rnacentral:rRNA from 1 species